AUGGAAUGGAUCUGGACCUUUAUCUUCCUCCUGUCAGUAACUGCAGGAGUGUACUCACAGGUUCAGCUGCAGCAAUCUGGAGCUGAGCUGGUGAGGCCUGGGGCUUCAGUGAAGUUGUCCUGCAAGGCUUCUGGCUACAGUUUCACUGAUUAUGACAUAUAUUGGGUGAAGCAGAGUCCUGGACAGGGCCUGGAAUUGAUUGGAGGUAUUUAUCCUGGAAAUGGUAAUACUAUCUACAAUGAGAAGUUCAAGGGCAAGGCCACAUUGACUGUAGACACAUCCUCCAACACAGCCUACUUGCAGCUCAGCAGCCUCAAAUCUGAGGAUUCUGCCAUCUAUUACUGUGCAAGGUUGAUGAAAUAUUAUUAA